AGCGAACGCUAGCGGCGAGCUUAACACAUGCAAGUCGAGCGGAGGGUUUCGGCCCUCAGCGGCGGACGGGUGAGUAACACGUAGGUUACGUGCCCCUUUGGUGGGGAAUAACUUAGGGAAACCUGAGCUAAUACCGCAUAUGCCCUUCGGGUGAAAGUCUUCGACGCCAGAGGAUCGGCCUGCGGCCCAUUAUUUAAUCCUUGUUGGUGGGGUAACGGCCGUACCAAGGUACGAUGGGUAGCUGGUCUGAGAGGAUGAUCAGCCACACUGGGACUGAGACACGGCCCAGACUCCUACGGGA
rnacentral:rRNA from 1 species